rnacentral:rRNA from 1 species
UGACCGCUGGCGGCGUGCCUCCUACAUGCAAGUCGAGCGACCAGACGAGGAGCUUGCUCCUCUGACGUUAGCGGCGGACGGGUGAGUAACACGUGGAUAACCUACCUAUAAGACUGGGAUAACUUCGGGAAACCGGAGCUAAUACCGGAUAAUAUAUUGAACCGCAUGGUUCAAUAGUGAAAGACGGUUUUGCUGUCACUUAUAGAUGGAUCCGCGCCGCAUUAGCUAGUUGGUAAGGUAACGGCUUACCAAGGCAACGAUGCGUAGCCGACCUGAGAGGGUGAUCGGCCACACUGGAACUGAGACACGGUCCAGACUCCUACGGGAGGCAGCAGUAGGGAAUCUUCCGCAAUGGGCGAAAGCCUGACGGAGCAACGCCGCGUGAGUGAUGAAGGUCUUCGGAUCGUAAAACUCUGUUAUUAGGGAAGAACAAAUGUGUAAGUAACUAUGCACGUCUUGACGGUACCUAAUCAGAAAGCCACGGCUAACUACGUG